rnacentral:lncRNA from 1 species
CCAACCCCGGACCCCACCAACCCCGCAGCUCCAUCAAUCGCAUCCAUUGUACUUCCGAUUAUACCCUCGGCUUUAAGUCUCUUUUUCUCUUCUAGUAUCCUCUUCUCUUCUUCUAUAGCAAGAUCUUGCUCUUCUUUUGUAAACUCAUGAUACUUCACCUAUGUCUAAAAAUUUUGCUAAGUUGACUAUUUGACCAUUUGAUAGUUUGACUAUUUGACUAUUUACCUUGACUGUGAGAGUUCCUCUAUCUUUCUUAUCUUUGAUCUUGAGCAUAUCAAGUGAAGGUUGAAGCUUCAAUUCAAUUUCAUUUUCAAUUUCUGGUUGAAUGCCAAUUAGAGAUAAUUUUGCAAUUCCCAAACGCUUGUCUUGCCCAAUAUCUUCAUCCAGAACCUGUUUGGAAUUGGAUUACAUCAUUAUUUAUUAUAAAAACUAAAAAAUAAAAAAGAUAAAAAAAGAUUUUAUUAUAUAACCUCGAGAAUAGCGGAUUGGGUUUCCUUGUCUUCUACAAUCAACUGAAGUACAUGAUUCCAAACAGGGUUCAAGUUGUUAUCUACAGCUUUUGUUUUGAAUUUUUCAAGUGGACGAAUAAAAGCAGUGACAUAAGGAUCAGAUUUUCCAAUCAUUUC